rfam:Eutypa lata TCREL1 unplaced genomic scaffold EL1_03_scaffold_1008, whole genome shotgun sequence.
AUGUAUUUCGUUUUACAUUAGCCAAACUAGAUAUGCAGAAUGAGUAAUUGUACUGUGUAAAGCUCUAG